rnacentral:rRNA from 1 species
UACAGAGGUCUCGAGCGUUAGGCGGAAUCACUGGGCUUAAAGCGUGUGUAGGUGGAUGCCUAAGUACCUUGUGAAAUCCCACAGCUUAACUGUGGAACUGCUUGGUAUACUGGGUGUCUUGAGUCACUCAGGGGCGAGCGGAACAAAUGGUGGAGCGGUGGAAUGCGUAGAUAUCAUUUGGAACGCCAAUGGUGAAAACAGCUCGCUGGGGGUGCACUGACACUGAGACACGAAAGCCAGGGGAGCGAACGGG